rnacentral:rRNA from 1 species
UACGAAGGGUCCAAGCGUUAUUCGGAAUUAUUGGGCGUAAAGGGCGCGUAGGCGGCUUGGCAAGUGGAAGGUGAAAUCCCUCGGCUUAACCGAGGAACUGCCCUCCAAACUGCUUUGCUUGAGGCCGGGAGAGGUGAGUGGAAUUCCCAGUGUAGCGGUGAAAUGCGUAGAUAUUGGGAGGAACACCAGUGGCGAAGGCGGCUCACUGGACCGGUUCUGACGCUGAUGCGCGAAAGCGUGGGGAGCGAACAGG